rnacentral:rRNA from 1 species
AUGUCGGCCUUGGUUGUCCGGUCUGGGAAAAGGAAAAGUAGGACUGAAUGCAUAAGCUAUGGACUCAUGGAUGAGACAGAUAGGGUGAGAAGACAGUAUUUUGAGGACAAAAUAUGGAAGGAUGAUGCAACUUGUUUGAACAUGCUUAGGCUUGGGAGAGGACCUUUCUUCCGGUUUUGUCAACUUUUAAGGGACCGCAGGUUGCUUCAAGACACGAUUCAUAUGUCUGUUGAGCAGCAAGUUGGCACGUUCUUGCACACUGUUGGACACAACGUUAGGGAUGCGCCAGCUGGGGACAAUUUUCGUAUAACCGGUGAAGUUGUUAGUCGUUAUUUCAAAAAAGUCAUCCAUGCCAUUGGAGAGCUACGGCACGACCUUAUUAGAGAGCCCUCAUCGGCGACCCCAACCAAAAUAGAAGGGAAUCACCAAUGGGAUCCAUACUUUAAGGUAUGA